AGUGAACGCUGGCGGUAGGCCUAACACAUGCAAGUCGAACGGCAGCACAGUAAGAGCUUGCUCUUACGGGUGGCGAGUGGCGGACGGGUGAGGAAUACAUCGGAAUCUACUUUUUCGUGGGGGAUAACGUAGGGAAACUUACGCUAAUACCGCAUACGACCUACGGGUGAAAGCAGGGGAUCUUCGGACCUUGCGCGAUUGAAUGAGCCGAUGUCGGAUUAGCUAGUUGGCGGGGUAAAGGCCCACCAAGGCGACGAUCCGUAGCUGAUCUGAGAGGAGGAUCACCCACACUGGAACUGAGACACGGUCCAGACUCCUACGGGAGGCAGCAGUGGGGAAUAUUGGACAAGGGGCGCAAGCCUGAUCCAGCCAGACCGCGUGGGUGAAGAAGGCCUUCGGGUUGUAAAGCCCUUUUGUUGGGAAAGAAAAGCAGCAGGUUAAUACCCCGCUGUUCUGACGGUACCCAAAGAAUAAACACCGGCUAACUUCGU
rnacentral:rRNA from 1 species